AAAAAAUUCUAUGAAAAUAUUUCUCGUGUAAAUUUUUAUAUUUUUUUAUGAAAAACUAUAGAAAAAAUUAUAAAAAAUUGAGAAUAUAUUUAUCGAGCAAAUAUAUCGAAAAAUAUAUAAAUUUCUAAUUUACACAUUUACAAAAAAAAAAGAAGAUAUACAAUAUACAUUAAUAAUUAAAGAAAAAAGAUAUAACUUUUGGUAAUUAUUUACUUAAAAAUGCAAAAUAUUGAUCGUACAUCUCAUUAUAAUAUUCUGAACUUUACUUAUUACGAGUUCAUGUUUGUAAUAAUUUGCAAUACCGAACAAAAAAUCAAUUUUCUACGAAUAAAUAUCAAAAUAUAGAUAAAUGUUGUAAGUUUGUACACAUAACGUUAUAUAUCGAUAGAUAUAUUCGUUCUCACGAUGAAGACUGUAAAAUGUUCAUUAUAUUAUACAACUUUCACGGAAACAUUUUUCCUCGUGUUAUCGCUUUUAGGAUACGGUACUAAUUAAUUACUAACUUAAAAACCGAUAUGACGAUUAAUUAAUGCGGGCCAACAAGAUAUGCAUUGGUAAAAAUAAAACAUCACGCAAUUAACGUCCGCUCGAAGGGAGAGGUUAUAAGUACCUCGAUAAAUCAUGAUGCGGACACCUGUCGCGUGGUAAACUGGUUUCAGAGCACUGUCCUUUCGCGCCAAUGCAAAAUUCCAAACGAAAUUUCAGCCUUCUGCUGUGCACCAUAAGGCAAGAAAAAAAAAAAGAAAGUAAAGAAAAGAAAGAAAGUUCGUUGCACCGAACGAGAAAUUAAUAUAAUAAGGGGUUAAAAAAACGAGAAAAUUUGUUCGAUUAAUCAUAAAAAAAAAAUAAAUUAAAAAAUUAGAAAUAAAAAUGAGAGGAAUAAUUAUACGAUGCACUUUACCUAACAAUUUUAAACAGUUUUGACAUGAUAUGAAUUUUAACUUGAAGUAAAAUCGAAAGACAGAGGACACCUUCUGAAUCUGAAUCUUAUCACUGUUAAUUUGAUGAUGAUCUGGACAGAGAGAUGCAUUGGAGUAUAUUUUUUCGUUCAUUGACAAUGAAAAUUACUCUUAGAUAAUCAUUUUCAAUAUAUUUGUAAAAAUUUUACUCUCAAAGCAGUCGUAAUAAUGUCAAUAAGAUGUUAAACAAAUUAAACUGAUUCGAAUCAAUGAAUCGUUCCAUAAUAAGAAAUCGUUCCAUAUAAGAAAAAUGUAAGUAUCCUCAACACCAUUUAUUAUUAUUAAUCUCAGUUUUUUUUUCUUUUUUAAGAACUAUUGUGCAAAGAUUGGAUAAAAAGUCAGCGUUAUAUUUGAAGACCUUUUCAUUAAAAAUACUUCUUAUUAGACCCGUCCUCAUGAACAAGCUCUCGCUUUUAUGCGACUAUCAUCAAAUUCGCUUUAUCAUAAUUUUUAUUACUUCCGCACGAGUAACGUAUAGGCUAAUCAUCCAAUGUGUGGGGUAUUCGAGUAGUCAUGGCGAGUUGAAAGAAAUUGGAUGGGUCAAUUAGACAUUUAUUUUGAAGUAGAUCUAUAGUAAUAGAUCAAUCUAAAAGAUAAAGAUGAAAAUUAAAUCAGUUCAUUAAUAAUUUCUUCUUUUCCAGUUUCUUUUUAAUCACACUUUGUAUGUAGGCGAUGAUAAUUCGAUAUUUUUAGAUCAUCUUAAAAAAAAAUUUUGAUAAUACUAAUUAAAUUUUGAGAUUCGAACUAUCCUUCAUUUUGAAACUCUCCUAGAUCGAGUGAUACAUAUAAUUUAAUUUAAUCUUCUCUAAUAUAUGCAAUUGAUAAAUUUCUAUUUCAUUUUACAGUUACUAUCGUGACACUACAUUUACAUUUCGUGAUUAAUACGCAGUAUAUAUCAAUGCAUACAAUGAAUGACCUUAAAUAGACACGAGGCAUUAUCGUUAAUGCACUUGUUCACGUUCAAGAACCGCCAUCAGUCAUGAUCAUCUGAAGAUUGAGCCUUUGCAGUACCAACGUGUUAUUAAUUUCUUGUGUUAAUGUUAGCUCAUACAUAUAACUGCAAAACGUGUACAUAUGAUUUUAUUUCCCAGCCUUGGUGAGUCUUUUUCAGAUAUAUUAAGCUACAAUUCUGAAAAAAAACGACAACGAGCAAGCAUGAAAGUUAAAACUUAGAAACCCGAUCUGCUGGGUUCUCGGUAAAAUAAUUAUAUCAGAGAUCCAAGUGCAACCAAUUUGGCUACAUAUACUUUGUGCAUUUAUCAAGAAUGCAGAACGUUGCAGGUGCAUGUUAAGUUACUGAAAGGAGAAAAAGAGAAUUGCAUGCGUGCAAGGCCACAUAUGCAUGUCUUUAAAAUCGACACGCAUGAAACCAUUGGAGUCUCGAUAACAAUGUAUAUCCUAAUUAAUCGGGAUAUUUUUAUAAGUAAAUAUAUUUUAUAAUAGGAUUUUAAAUAAUGUUUUCAAAUAUGGAAUAAAUAUAUUUGUAGAUCUAA